rnacentral:rRNA from 1 species
UACGUAGGGUGCAAGCGUUAAUCGGAAUUACUGGGCGUAAAGCGUGCGCUAGGCGGUUUUGUAAGUCUGACGUGAAAUCCCCGGGCUUAACCUGGGAAUUGCGUUGGAGACUGCAAGGCUGGAGUCUGGCAGAGGGGGUAGAAUUCCACGUGUAGCAGUGAAAUGCGGUAGAGAUGUGGAGGAACGACCCGUGGCGAAGGCGGUUCUCUGGGACGGUACUGACGCUGAGAGCGAAAGCGUGGGGAGCGAAC